rnacentral:rRNA from 1 species
GGACCCGCACAAGCAGCGGAGCAUGUGGUUUAAUUCGAAGCAACGCGAAGAACCUUACCAGGCCUUGACAUCCUCUGACCAUCUUAGAGAUAAGACUUUCCCUUCGGGGACAGAGAGACAGGUGGUGCAUGGUUGUCGUCAGCUCGUGUCGUGAGAUGUUGGGUUAAGUCCCGCAACGAGCGCAACCCCUGUGAUUAGUUGCCAUCAUUCAGUUGGGCACUCUAAACAGACUGCCGUAGACAAUACGGAGGAAGGUGGGGACGACGUCAAAUCAUCAUGCCCCUUAUGGCCUGGGCUACACACGUGCUACAAUGGUCUGAACAGAGGGCAGCGAAACCGUGAGGCGGAGCGAAUCCCACAAAACAGAUCUCAGUUCGGAUUGUAGGCUGCAACCCGCCUACAUGAAGAUGGAGUUGCUAGUAAUCGCGGAUCAGAAUGCCGCGGUGAAUGCGUUCCCGGGUCUU